rnacentral:misc_RNA from 1 species
GGUCUUGGAGGGGAAAAAAAAAAACCUCACAUAUUAACAUCUUCAUUCACCAUAGAGGGCAACUCAUAAAAGAAGUGCUAUUACUAUGAGAGCAAUUUAUCCACAUGAUGCCAAAAUCUACUCCCAGAGACAUGGUAAGUUUUCUAAGUUCUUCCCAAGUUUCUGACUUAGAAAGUCUUUGUGCAUAGAUUUCUGAUAUGCUAUCAUUCAAUAUGGUGAAGGAAAUAGAAAGUCUUCAUGCAAGAAAAAGUGAAAACCAGCUUUCUUUGACUCAGCCUAUAGGUAUUAGACGGUCAGAACAUCAUGGGUUCAUUAUCGCUAAGAAGGAACUUCCCUGAAACACCCCUUCUCCCUAAAAAUCCAGCAAGAGAAAGGCCGAUGGUAGCAUAUCUACUAAUAUUGGCGAGGAAAAUUUUGGGUAAAAUGAGGAACCAGGUAUAGCUAUAGAGGGAAAGAUAGUAGGCUACCUCCUGUUAUGUAUUCCAAUCAACAGACAAAAAGAUAAACAAAAGAAAAGAUAUAUUGUGUUUCAUUAAAGAAAAAACUGAUAUGCCGCAAACUAAAAGUAAUGAUACUACCAGAGUAAGUUUCCUAUGGUGACAAAAUGAUGAAAAAACUGGAUUUAGCUUUUCUCAAACAUGUGACCAUAAAUCAUGUGUAUCAGGGAAAUACUUGAAUUCAUGAAGCAAAAGCAGGAUAAGAAACAACAGCUUAAAGAUGAUCACACUCCUAAGAUUGGCAGAACUUGACAUUCUGUUAGAAUCUAGAAACUUCAACCUCUUCAUUCAGCAGUAAAGAAUAAAAGUGGUUCUCAUUGAGGAUCAUUCACAUAUUCUUCAUGUAUUUCAUUGUGCCAUAUCAUUAAAAAUCAUUUGAUACACCAAACAGGUGACCAUCAUUAAUUGAUGGGUUGCAUUUUUUCUACCAACGGAUAGACAAAAAAAUUGGCUGCAUGGGCAUGUGUGAGGUUCACCAUGCGGAGGAUUAAGACCAGUGAAAGCUGAAAACAAAUUUAUUGAGACAGACCUUCAAGCAUUUUACUUUGAGCCAAAAAGCAGCAUGGAAGUUGAUAAAUCCCAAUGAUAGAUACAAAGGUAACAACAAACUGCUGUAAUUACCAAGCUUAUUCAAAGAUCCCUAGCAAUCACUCAGCAGCACAGGAAUACAGAGUUACAUCACCUUGUUCAAAAAAAAUUAUCAAGGUCAAGAAUUUGGUGAAAUUCUCCUACAAGCCCAUGGGGGAUGCUUUUUAUUGUAUCCUUAAGAAGUCAUAUGGUAUGUUUUGAGCAAUCCAGGUAAAAGUUACGUGUAGAUUAGAACAACCUCAAACAAGAAGAGUAAGCCAUUGUUAGAAGAUUGAAUUGCUCAAAUGAUAAACUCAGGUUUUGUGACUACUGAACUAUGCAACUAUUUUUUUUAAAAUGUCAGAGAAAGCAAAUAGAAUAAGUUAAAAAUCUUAACCACCACCAUCCCACAGAAAGAAGAACCUUUCCAGACAAAAAUCGCAUCAGUGCAAAUGCUAAAAUUCAUCUCAAAAUUCACGAAUGCUCAACCCAGCUAUGUAAAGGAAUGGGUUCUUGGAAAAGAGAAGGAAAACUC